rnacentral:rRNA from 1 species
UACAGAGACUGCAAACGUUAUUCGGAUUCACUGGGCGUAAAGGGUGCGCAGGCGGCCAAGUGUGUGAGGCGUGAAAGCCUGGGGCUUAACUCCAGAAUUGCACCUCAAACUACAUGGCUAGAGCAUUGGAGAGGGUAGCAGAAUUCACGGUGUAGCAGUGAAAUGCGUAGAUAUCGUGAGGAAUACCAGAGGCGAAGGCGGCUACCUGGACAAUUGCUGACGUUCAGGCACGAAAGCGUGGGGAGCAAAAGGG